rnacentral:misc_RNA from 1 species
AUGAACUGUGGAGCUUUAAUUGAUCGUCAAAAGGUAAAUGAAGGGAAAUUGAUAAAUCGAAGCUUAAUUGAUUUACUCAUGAAUGAGGAAUCCGUGUUGAAUUUAAUCAAUGAGAAGAUGGAAUUCAAUUUAACACCUUUCAUUGGAUUUGCUGGAUCCGGAAAAACUCACAAUCUAACUGAGUUUUUAAUCAAUGGAAAAAAUCUUCAGGAUUUUCUUCUAAUCUCAUCCAGAAAGAGUGUUUUAGAUCAAAUUAUUGCCAAAAUUCAUGACUUGAGUGAAGAAGAAAAAACCUCAAAAAUCAAGAAUUUUAAAACUUUUGAAAUAGGACUCCUUGCUCAAGUUUCUAACAAGCUAAUUUGUUUGGAUGAGGUGUCUCAAUUACCUCCUGGAUACUCAGACUUAAUUGCCUUGAAAUGGUUGAGUGAGGAAGCUGAAAAAGAUCAGGAAGUCAUCAGAAACAGAAAAAGAAUUAGUGAGGAAGAUAUUAAGAGAAUUCUUUGCAAAGGCAUUAAGGUACCAAUAGUUUUCACAGGUGAUGUGCUGCAACCCAAUUUCUUCUCUGAGGAUUCAACGAAAUUGAAUGGCACUCAAGCUGAAUUAAGCUAUCUAUUGAGCUUCUUCAAACAACCGGAAAUUGGUUACCUAUUUGGAAGUUAUAGAUUUGGUGCCUUCAAUCUACCAGUUAUUCAACUGCCCUAUUAUGCCCAAGGUAUAUGCACUGUGGGGUAUUUAAGGAGUCUGGAAGCUCUCAAACUGGAUAGAUAUCAAGAAGAGAUGGGAAAAAAGAAAAUAGUUGCCUUGGUGGCCUCACAAGCUGAUAAACGAUAUUUAAACUCAACUUCACUCACCACUCUCACUAUAGGGGAAAGUCAGGGAUCCAGCUUUCAGUACACGGUGUUGUACAUCACACCUGACUUCCUCAAAAUUUCUGAAGAGAUGACCAUUGUUGCCGUUACAAGACAAAGGAAAGGGAUUUUUGUGGUUGUGGAUGAACAAUUUGAUUAUGAUUUUUCAACCUCUUUUGCUAUGAAAAAAAAAAAUCAUAGCAUAAUCUCAGGCGACUUUGAGUUCAUCAAUGCUUUUAUUGAAAAAAAAAUUUCAAAUUUUAGAGUUGUUGAUGAACAAAAAUUUGGAGGUGAUUUUGAAUUGAAAAUGGAAGGUGACCCUUUUCUCAAAUCUGAAUUGUUUAUGCUCCCUGUGGAGAAAGAGAUGAAGCCUGAGAUUCAAGAGAUUAACAUUAGGAAGGCAAAUCUUAAAACACACAUCCCACUAGUGGCUGGUGAUUUGUUAAGAAUGCAAAAAUCUGAAAAAAUGAAAGCUAGGGAAAAUAGGGAAUUCAUUGGAUUAUCAAGUGAACCUAGUGCUCAGUUUGCUGAGUCACUAACCAACAAAAGACAUGGAAAAGAAGUAGGACCAUGGGCUUCUGAAGCUAUCUUCCCAAGACACAAAAAUUCAGAUCAAGCCACUUUCAUAGCUGCUGUUCGAAAGAGGUUGAAGUUCUCAAACCCAAGAGAGAACAUUAGAAAAUUCAAAGAAUCUAGGGGGUUAGGUAAGGAAAUGCUCAAAGUUUUACUGAAGGAGAUCAAAUUUGAUACUGAAUUCGAUAACAAUUUGUAUGAGCAAUCUAUUACUGAAUUUGAGGAAAAAAAAAUCUCAAAGGAUGCGAAAACAAUAGAAAAUCAUCAUGUUAGAUCACUGAAGGACUGGAAAGUUAAUGAGAUUUUUUUGUUCAUUAAAAGCCAAUUGUGUA